rnacentral:lncRNA from 1 species
CUGAGACCUACUCGGGGCAUCAUCCUACGGUAAUAAGAAUCUCACCUUGCGACGUCGCCUCUCAUCCUCCUGAGUCUCAUGUCUCGUGCCUGAUCCACCUCCACCUAGAGCUCCAACUCACUUUGGGCUCCACCUAGCUUCUGAAGCUCCAUCUCGCACUAGGCUCUCCAUCAGGUAAUAAUGUCUUCUCCUCUCCUUCUUUCCCUCCAGAGCAAUCUUAUCACCGAAUAGCACCUUCAGGAUUCC